rnacentral:rRNA from 1 species
CCCUUAGAUGUUCUGGGCCGCACGCGCGCUACAAUGAUGCAUUCAACGAGUUUAUAACCUUGGUUGAAAAGCCUGGGUAAUCUUUUGAACUUUCGUCGUGAUGGGGCUAGACCCUUGCAAUUAUUGGUCUCCAACGAGGAAUUCCUAGUAAACGCAAGUCAUCAGCUUGCAUUGAUUACGUCCCUGCCCUUUGUACACACCGCCCGUCGCACCUACCGAUUGAAUGGUCCGGUGAAAUCUUCGGAUUGAGACUUUGAUUUCUUCACGGAAAACGUUGUUUUAUAAAGUUGAUUAAACCUUACCAUUUAGAGGAAGGUGAAGUCGUAACA